rnacentral:rRNA from 1 species
UGCCAGACUCCUACGGGAGGCAGCAGUGAGGAAUAUUGGUCAAUGGGCGCGAGCCUGAACCAGCCAAGUCGCGUGAGGGAUGACGGCCCUACGGGUUGUAAACCUCUUUUGCCGGGGAGCAACGGGCGCCACGUGUGGCGCCACUGAGAGUACCCGGAGAAAAAGCAUCGGCUAACUCCGUGCCAGCAGCCGCGGUAAUACGGAGGAUGCGAGCGUUAUCCGGAUUUAUUGGGUUUAAAGGGUGCGCAGGCGGAUUUUUAAGUCAGCGGUCAAAUCGUGGGGCUCAACCCCAUCCAGCCGUUGAAACUGGGGAUCUAGAGUGUGCGAGAGGUAUGCGGAAUGCGUGGUGUAGCGGUGAAAUGCAUAGAUAUCACGCAGAACCCCGAUUGCGAAGGCAGCAUACCGGUGCACAACUGACGCUCAGGCACGAAAGCGUGGGUAUCGAACAGGAUUAGAUACCCCAGUA